UAGGGAAUCUUCGGCAAUGGGGGCAACCCUGACCGAGCAACGCCGCGUGAGUGAAGAAGGUUUUCGGAUCGAAAAGCUCUGUUGUAAGAGAAGAACGUGUGUGAGAGUGGAAAGUUCACACAGUGACGGUAACUUACCAGAAAGGGACGGCUAACUACGUGCCAGCAGCCGCGGUAAUACGUAGGUCCCGAGCGUUGUCCGGAUUUAUUGGGCGUAAAGCGAGCGCAGGCGGUUUAAUAAGUCUGAAGUUAAAGGCAGUGGCUUAACCAUUGUUCGCUUUGGAAACUGUUAAACUUGAGUGCAGAAGGGGAGAGUGGAAUUCCAUGUGUAGCGGUGAAAUGCGUAGAUAUAUGGAGGAACACCGGUGGCGAAAGCGGCUCUCUGGUCUGUAACUGACGCUGAGGCUCGAAAGCGUGGGGAGCAAACAGG
rnacentral:rRNA from 1 species